rnacentral:rRNA from 1 species
CCUACGGGUGACUGCAGUGAGGAAUAUUGGUCAAUGGACGAGAGUCUGAACCAGCCAAGUAGCGUGAAGGAUGACUGCCCUAUGGGUUGUAAACUUCUUUUAUAAAGGAAUAAAACGAGGCACGUGUGCCUUUUUGCAUGUACUUUAUGAAUAAGGAUCGGCUAACUCCGUGCCAGCAGCCGCGGUAAUACGGAGGAUCCGAGCGUUAUCCGGAUUUAUUGGGUUUAAAGGGAGCGUAGAUGGGUUGUUAAGUCAGUUGUGAAAGUUUGCGGCUCAACCGUAAAAUUGCAAUUGAUACUGGGAGUCUUGAGUACAGUUGAGGUAGGCGGAAUUCGUGGUGUAGCGGUGAAAUGCUUAGAUAUCACGAAGAACCCCGAUUGCGAAGGCAGCUUACUAAACUGUGACUGACAUUGAUGCUCGAAAGUGUGGGUAUCAAACAGGAUUAGAUACCCUUGUAGUC